UACGUAGCAUGCGAGCGUUGUCCGGAAUUAUUGGGCGUAAAGGGCUCGUAGGCGGUCUGUUACGUCGGGAGUGAAAACUCGGGGCUCAACCCCGAGCCUGCUUCCGAUACGGGCAGACUAGAGGUAUGCAGGGGAGAAUGGAAUUCCUGGUGUAGCGGUGAAAUGCGCAGAUAUCAGGAGGAACACCGGUGGCGAAGGCGGUUCUCUGGGCAUUACCUGACGCGGAGGAGCGAAAGUGUGGGGAGCGAACAGG
rnacentral:rRNA from 1 species